rnacentral:ncRNA from 2 species
GGCAGAGUAGAAUUUUGCGCGUUAAGUGCCAAAGGGACGGGAAGUUGCCUUUUGGACGAAAAACACUUCAGUGUUUGCGGUGCAGAUUUCGCAUUCCGCUGCC